rnacentral:rRNA from 1 species
AUGCUGAUCUUCCCCAAGAGUCCACAUCGACGGGAAGGUUUGGCACCUCGAUGUCGGCUCUUCGCCACCUGGAUCUGUAGGUGGUUCCAAGGGUUGGGCUAUUUGCCCAUUAAUGCGGUACGUGAGCUGGGUUCAGAACGUCGUGAGACAAUUCGGUCCAUAUCCGGUGUGGGCGUUAGAGCAUUGAGAGGACCUUUCCCUAGUACGAGAGGACCGGGAAGGAUGCACCUCUGGUGUACCAGUUAUCGUGCCUACGGUAAAUGCUGGGUAGCCAAGUGCGGAGAGGAUAACUGCUGA